rnacentral:rRNA from 1 species
ACAGGAUUAGAUACCCUGGUAGUCCACGCCGUAAACGAUGUCGACUUGGAGGCUGUUCCCCUGAGGAGUGGCUUCCGGAGCUAACGCGUUAAGUCGACCGCCUGGGGAGUACGGCCGCAAGGUUAAAACUCAAAUGAAUUGACGGGGGCCCGCACAAGCGGUGGAGCAUGUGGUUUAAUUCGAUGCAACGCGAAGAACCUUACCUACUCUUGACAUCCACGGAAUUUGGCAGAGAUGCCUUAGUGCCUUCGGGAACCGUGAGACAGGUGCUGCAUGGCUGUCGUCAGCUCGUGUUGUGAAAUGUUGGGUUAAGUCCCGCAACGAGCGCAACCCUUAUCCUUUGUUGCCAGCGAUUCGGUCGGGAACUCAAAGGAGACUGCCGGUGAUAAACCGGAGGAAGGUGGGGAUGACGUCAAGUCAUCAUGGCCCUUACGAGUAGGGCUACACACGUGCUACAAUGGCGCAUACAAAGAGAAGCGACCUCGCGAGAGCAAGCGGACCUCAUAAAGUGCGUCGUAGUCCGGAUCGGAGUCUGCAACUCGACUCCGUGAAGUCGGAAUCGCUAGUAAUCGUGGAUCAGAAUGCCACGGUGAAUACGUUCCCGGGCCUUGUACACACCGCCCGUCACACCAUGGGAGUGGGUUGCAAAAGAAGUAGGUAGCUUAACCUUCGGGAGGGCGCUUACCACUUUGUGAUUCAUGACUGGGGUGAAGUCGUAACAAGGUAG